ACAUGGCUAGCAAGAACGUACAUGAGAAAGUAGAAUGAACCUUUGACCAACUUUCCAACCGUAUCACCUACAUUCUUAAUGGAUAAGAAUAUUUGGAAAAUCCUUAGGAUGUAUUGGAAGAUAAGAAAGACGUUUAUAAUUGUUUGUUUGACAAAAUGUUUAGAACCUCCCAGUUUGGAAAAGCCAACUACUAUUGCGACCUG
rnacentral:lncRNA from 1 species